rnacentral:rRNA from 1 species
GUGGGGAAUCUUCCGCAAUGGACGAAAGUCUGACGGAGCGACGCCGCGUGAGUGAAGAAGGCCUUCGGGUCGUAAAGCUCUGUCAUCAGGGACGAACGGCCGGUGGAGUGGAAAGCCACCGGAUUGACGGUACCUGAGAAGGAAGCCACGGCUAACUACGUGCCAGCAGCCGCGGUAAUACGUAGGUGGCAAGCGUUGUCCGGAAUUAUUGGGCGUAAAGCGCGCGCAGGUGGGCUCUUAAGUUCAUUUUUAAAGUUCGGAGCUCAACUCCGUGAUGGGGUGGAAACUGGGAUUCUUGAGUACCGGAGAGGAAAGCGGAAUUCCCCGUGUAGCGGUGAAAUGCGUAGAUAUGGGGAGGAACACCAGUGACGAAGGCGGCUUUCUGGACGGUGUCUGACACUGAGGCGCGAAAGCCAGGGGAGCGAACGGGAUUAGAAACCCGUGUAGUCC